CAUGAAAACAACGCUCCUUCGUUGUUAAAGUUGAUUGAGAACUAUGAUCCUAUAUUUUUGGAAAUACCAUAUGAUUUUGCAACCUUAUUGUGGGGAGAACAACUUCCAUAUGUCAAUGUCUUAAAAUUAGUGAUGAUGAUUUAUCGUGAGUCAUUGAGUUAUAAUUUUUGUAUUUAGUUAGUUGUUAAUUGUUUAAAGAUGCCUUUGAUUUCAAUUUUAAAGUUGUUUUUGUUUCUAUAAA